UCGCUAUCCCACGGACUAGCACAUAGAGUACUCAAUAAGUAUUGAUUGGGUAAAUUUGGAAAGUCAUCAGUAUUUGGCUUGUAUCUCAGACAUAGAAACUUUUUUAUUUGGUCCUGGGCCAGCUUUCUGAUUUUCUUCUCACUCGGGGAGCAAUCCCUGGAUGUUAAGUAUGAUAUAUAUAACAAGGGCUAAAAUAUGUAUCCUAGAAAAUGCAAGUAAUGAGUCUUCUACCCAGAUGUCUGUGUGAGCCUGCAUUGAAGCUCUGGGUGUGCAUGGGGUAUAAAGAGAAGAAAUUAAAGUUGAUUUCUCCAUUUUGCCAAGGAGGAACAUUUUCUUAUUUGGUAUUGCUGAUGGUAUCAUGCAAAAAUCAGAUCCUCAAAAAGGUCAGAACCUAUAUUUAUACAUCAUAGAAAUAGAGAGUUAUCCUCUAUUAGACUGUAUAUGAAUGUAUG
rnacentral:lncRNA from 1 species